CUUUUUAUGAUAACAUUUAUUUGGCGUUCCAGUCCGAUAGAUUCCUUCAUUUUGUCCAUAAUUUGCAGUUUUAACAAGUUUAAGGGACUAGUUAUUCGUCGAAAACACAGACGAUACCGUCUGUACACACCGCAGUAGGCCUCCAGAGUGUUGCUCGUUCUGUUACGAGCUCCGUGAUUGGGCCGUUUCAGAAAAUAAGGUGGCUCGUUUCAUUUAAGGGCGUUGCCUGGCAACACUGCUGGUAAAAGCUGCAGGCUGCGGAGCUGAUUACGUAAUGUGUUUAUCAAGACUUUUUUUUUUUUCCAUGUUUACCCCGCAGUCACCCUGGAGGCUUCAACAAGAUGGUGUUUAGUUUCUCACAAUAAUACUUGAUUAUUUUAAAUAAUGAUGCAAACAUCAUAAUUGUUUUCGUAGUAAUACAGUCCUCAUAAUGUGUAUAAUGUAGCUAUGUGUGUAGGCUAUGUUUACUUUUAUGGUAUUAUAAAUUUGUAUAUAUGUUGUGCAGCAUGGAUGAGCUACAUAUUACAGUUCGUUGUGCAAACCCGGUGUUGUAAAGUAACAAAUAACUGAACCUUGAUGCCUUUAUAACGUAAUAACACCACAGCACUAUGGACUGUUGUACUUCUGACACAACCCUUGAAAUGUGAGCGCUGGAAGAGUGGGUCAUGGCGGGCAGGGAAUCUGUGCAAAAGUAAACAGGAAAGAAAACACAACCUUUGUGCAUCCACACAGGCGCAGGUGCUGUCCGUAUGGACUCCUCUGUGACUUUCUAAAACAGUCUUUUGGAAAACCCUCAAUCUGGAUCUGCCCGAUAAACUUUGCAACUGGUCAACAUUCACCAGCCUAAAGAGACUUCAUCAGGCCUCAACUUUGUGAUGAACCAGCAGUAAACGAGGCACCCUUGUCUGAGCUCACUGUCCGCUGGUACCCCCCGCAUCUUCCCUAUCAAAUGGAUGAUGACAAGACAAGACUGGAAUCUAAACUCUGUCAGAAUAUUGUAGCUUUAUCGACGGUAUUUCUUGGCGUCUUGUCCGGACAGCUGACUGAUAUUCCAUCUGCUGUGGUUCACGUCAGCGCCGCGAGGAGACAAAUACAGUGACUUGCAAAAAAAAAAAAAAAAAAAAAAAAAAAAAAAGGAACACCAGGAACCGAAAUCACGCAAUGGGCGUCUGGGAGCACCGCACAAUGAUCUGUAAACAGCGAUCACAGCCUAACAGUUACUUUUCAUGUUGUUUCUAAAUGGAGUAAAAGAUCUGACGCUAUCCGACGGUAUGUUGCGUCAUCUCUACAUGCAUUAAUAGCAUUAAUACUGUCAGUAUUUAAAAUAGUGUCCAGUCUGCAGCGCUCACAUGGAGCACAACAUCUCGUCAUGUAUUUAACACUCACCUCGACCUGCCUGCGUCUCCAAUCCUCUCCCGGUGAAAUGCUAUUCCUCAGCUGCAGCGAUUUCUCUGUCACGGUCGCAUCAUCCCGACAGGCUGUUCGGAAAAACUGUAUGUUUGCUUAUCGGCUGCUUCAUCCAUGACUUUUGGACAUGCAGAGUAAACAGCGGCGCUGCAGGGGACGUCCGCGCAGAACCAUGCAGCCGCCGCGCGUCUCCGUCAGCGGAGCCGGCAGGAAGUGAUCACCCUCACAAACUUAAAGUCACCGUGCAGCCCGUUUGGGAAGACUGAAUUGUUAAGCGUGAGAAGAAUUCGGAUGUCAUAUUAUUGUCAUGUCACAGAGGGUUUCCUGUGAAGUUUUAUUAAGGUUUUGAUCUUCACAUUAAAUAGCCCACCAUCCUUUACUGUAUGUGUGAGGCAUACUUAAACUUCCUAAGUGUGUUUGUGUGUCCUUGUAUUUCUUAGGUUACUUUGUAGGCACCAAUAUCUGUAUAUGAUCAGACAGUGACAUCGAACAGAUGCUCAGUUCCCAUUUGGGGCCAAAAAAGCUCUGGAACCAAUGAGGAAUGGUGAAGGACUGCAGGAUUGCAUUUAAAUGAGGUUAAAAAUAGGAUUAGGGUUAAGGUUAGAGGAGCUAAAUCUCCAAGGAGUGAAAGGCAAUGAAUACUGUGUGUGUGUGUGUGUGUGUGUGUGUGUGUGUCUGUGUCUGUGUCUGUAGUGAUAUGGGUGUGGAGGGUGACAGCCUAUAAGACUGAACCGAUCUGACCCGCCCCUGUCAGAGCUGAGCGGGAACACAUGGUCAUGGUGUUGGCUUGCUGCUACAGACCUGUAGUCCCAGAGUGUAGUCAGCUUUGGUGUCCUCUGGUAUCUGAUAUAUGUAAGUACUGGUAUGACCCAUUAAUGGGUCUUGAAGACUCCUUAGAGUGCACCUCCCUCUGAUAUUUAACACUUGGCAACAGUGGCAGGCUGUCUGAGGGCCAUUGGCAAGCACUAUAAAAAGUGCACCAGCUCAUAGAAAGUUGGGAUACAUUUAUAGUGACACCAUUCCAAAACCUGGUAAAGAUGAUAAUUGUUUUAUUAUGUGGCAGAGCUCUGUACUUAAAAGUCACAUUUGACUAUUAACUAUUUAGAAUGGGAUGAAGAGGGUACUAAAAUCCUCUUGCACACUUGGCCACUGUAGAGGCCAGCUCCCUUUUCAAAAUGAGGGCACAGGGGUCCACCAGUGAACAAUGUUAUAAAUGUAGCACCCUUCUAAUUUGUGUAUAUGGGUUUCAUUGCAUUUAUUUCCGUAAAGUGUUCUGAUGUGAUUGUGAACCCAUACAUGUAUUGCUGCUGUUAGCAUGAUCCACAAUUGUCCUAUAUUUUGAAAGGCCUUUGAACAUCUCCGCUUUCUCUUAUUUGGGUUUUCAUUUGUUUGGGCAGGUGUCAAUCAUGUCCUGGAGGUUAACCUUUCGGAAUGUUAGAGGGGCGGGACGAGAGAAAAAACAUGGAAAAUAAGAGAAGAAUGGGAAGGGGAAGGACGUGAAGUCCAAGUAAACGUUCAGAUAAUUUUAUGAAACAGGAUUAGUUACCGUUAUUAACCGGGAGUUUAAGCAAGUGCUUGUUUCUUUUGUUUAGAGUGUAACCGAACAUGUUUUAGAAGUUAGAAGUUAGAGCUGAAUACCAGGAUGAAAUCGAGCUAGCAACGGUUGUGCGAUGCUAACCAUUGCUAGCGGUUAGCAUCGUCAGGAGAGUUGGACAUUGGAUGUCGCCAAGUGCUGCUGCGGGACGGAGGAGUCGGUGCAGGACCAAGCCUCAGGGUGGGUCUCUGGCCAUGACGCUGCCUCUGGGAAGAAGUUUUUGAGAACAUUGUUGGAUCGCUGUUCACUAAGUUUCCCGACCUGCGGCUUCAAUGUGGAUUUCUAUAUGAGUUCCAGCAUUCCCGCCAUCACAGAAGACGGUUGCUUGGAAGAUCUGGACAUCCUUUACGUCAGAGGUAUCCAACCUCUUGACACGUGAGCACAGACACUGCUUUCCUGAUCCAAGUUCUGGUGACAAAUACAAGAAAAAAACAAAGGAAAUUAAAAUCACAGCUACCAAAACAUAUUGAACAUAGUUAACGAAAAGAACUCGUUAACUCGGUCAUAAUUUUGGUAGUUGCUGACAUGAAUUGAUAUCCACAGUAUUUUUCCAUUUGUUACACAUAAACAAUAGAAACAUGAACUUGAAAAGGCUGAAAGAAUGACUAGCAAACAUGGGAACAGGGAAUUUCCGUCACACCGUGAAUGCAGCACAGCG